rnacentral:rRNA from 1 species
UACGUAGGGUCCAAGCGUUAUCCGGAAUCACUGGGCGUAAAGCGUACGUAGGCGGUUUUUCAAGUUGGGUGUGAAAUCCUAUGGCUCAACCAUAUGGACUGUGCCCAAAACUGAAUAACUAGAGCAUAGUAGAGGCAAGUGGAACUUGCGGUGUAGGAGUGACAUCCGUAGAUAUCGCAAAGAACACCAAUGGCGAAGGCAGCUUGCUGGGCUAUUGCUGACGCUCAGGUACGAAAGCGUGGGGAGCGAACGGG